GAUGAACGCUGGCGGCGUGCCUAAUACAUGCAAGUCGAACGCAGUGGGGACGGGUGAGUAACACGUGGGUAACCUCCCAUCAGAGGGGAUAACACUUGGAAACAGGUGCUAAACCGAUACGGAUGUAUGGACUCGCGGUGCAUUAGCUAGUUGUGGGGGUAACGGCUCACCAAGGCCACGAUGCAUAGCUGGGCUGAGAGGGGGAUCGGCCACACUGGGACUGAGACACGGUCCAGACUCCUACGGGAGGCAGCAGUGGGGAAUCUUCGGCAAUGGACGAAAGUCUGACCGAGCAACGCCGCGUGAGUGAAGAAGGUUUUCGGGUCGUAAAGCUCUGUUGGUGGGGAAGCGGUAUCUAACGAGGAAGCAACGGCUAACUACGUGCCAGCAGCCGCGGUAAUUC
rnacentral:rRNA from 1 species